CUUUUACAAUGAAGAGUUUGAUCCUGGCUCAGGAUGAACGCUAGCUACAGGCUUAACACAUGCAAGUCGAGGGGCAGCAUCAUCAAAGCUUGCUUUGAUGGAUGGCGACCGGCGCACGGGUGAGUAACACGUAUCCAACCUGCCGACAACACUGGGAUAGCCUUUCGAAAGAAAGAUUAAUACCGGAUGGCAUAGUUUUCCCGCAUGGGAUAAUUAUUAAAGAAUUUCGGUUGUCGAUGGGGAUGCGUUCCAUUAGGCAGUUGGCGGGGUAACGGCCCACCAAACCAACGAUGGAUAGGGGUUCUGAGAGGAAGGUCCCCCACAUUGGAACUGAGACACGGUCCAAACUCCUACGGGAGGCAGCAGUGAGGAAUAUUGGUCAAUGGACGAGAGUCUGAACCAGCCAAGUAGCGUGAAGGAUGACUGCCCUAUGGGUUGUAAACUUCUUUUAUACGGGAAUAAAGUGAGCCACGUGUGGCUUUUUGUAUGUACCGUAUGAAUAAGGAUCGGCUAACUCCGUGCCAGCAGCCGCGGUAAUACGGAGGAUCCGAGCGUUAUCCGGAUUUAUUGGGUUUAAAGGGAGCGUAGGCGGGUUGUUAAGUCAGUUGUGAAAGUUUGCGGCUCAACCGUAAAAUUGCAGUUGAUACUGGCGACCUUGAGUGCAACAGAGGUAGGCGGAAUUCGUGGUGUAGCGGUGAAAUGCUUAGAUAUCACGAAGAACUCCGAUUGCGAAGGCAGCUUACUGGAUUGUAACUGACGCUGAUGCUCGAAAGUGUGGGUAUCAAACAGGAUUAGAUACCCUGGUAGUCCACACAGUAAACGAUGAAUACUCGCUGUUGGCGAUAUACGGUCAGCGGCCAAGCGAAAGCAUUAAGUAUUCCACCUGGGGAGUACGCCGGCAACGGUGAAACUCAAAGGAAUUGACGGGGGCCCGCACAAGCGGAGGAACAUGUGGUUUAAUUCGAUGAUACGCGAGGAACCUUACCCGGGCUUAAAUUGCAACUGACGGAACCGGAAACGGUUCUUUCUUCGGACAGUUGUGAAGGUGCUGCAUGGUUGUCGUCAGCUCGUGCCGUGAGGUGUCGGCUUAAGUGCCAUAACGAGCGCAACCCUUACGGGUAGUUACCAUCAGGUUAUGCUGGGGACUCUACCCGGACUGCCGUCGUAAGAUGUGAGGAAGGUGGGGAUGACGUCAAAUCAGCACGGCCCUUACGUCCGGGGCUACACACGUGUUACAAUGGGGGGUACAGAAGGCAGCUACACGGCGACGUGGUGCUAAUCCCAAAAGCCUCUCUCAGUUCGGAUUGGAGUCUGCAACCCGACUCCAUGAAGCUGGAUUCGCUAGUAAUCGCGCAUCAGCCACGGCGCGGUGAAUACGUUCCCGGGCCUUGUACACACCGCCCGUCAAGCCAUGAAAGCCGGGGGUACCUGAAGUACGUAACCGCGAGGAGCGUCCUAGGGUAAAACUGGUGAUUGGGGCUAAGUCGUAACAAGGUAGCCGUACCGGAAGGUGCGGCUGGAACACCUCCUUUCU
rnacentral:rRNA from 2 species